rnacentral:rRNA from 1 species
UACAACUCAUCAACCCUGUGAACAUACCUAAAACGUUGCUUCGGCGGGAACAGACGGCCCCGUAAAACGGGCCGCCCCCGCCAGAGGACCCCCUAACUCUGUUUCUAUUAUGUUUUUUCUGAGUAAAACAAGCAAAUAAAUUAAAACUUUCAACAACGGAUCUCUUGGCUCUGGCAUCGAUGAAGAACGCAGCGAAAUGCGAUAAGUAAUGUGAAUUGCAGAAUUCAGUGAAUCAUCGAAUCUUUGAACGCACAUUGCGCCCGCCAGUAUUCUGGCGGGCAUGCCUGUUCGAGCGUCAUUACAACCCUCAGGCCCCCGGGCCUGGCGUUGGGGAUCGGCGAGGCGCCCCCUGCGGGCACACGCCGUCCCCCAAAUACAGUGGCGGUCCCGCCGCAGCUUCCAUUGCGUAGUAGCUAACACCUCGCAACUGGAGAGCGGCGCGGCCACGCCGUAAAACCCCCAACUUCUGAAUGUUGACCUCGAAUCAGGUAGGAAUACCCGCUGAACUUAAGCAUAUCAAUAA